rnacentral:tRNA from 1 species
GAGAUUAAAUAUACUCUACAACUGACUUUUAAUCAGUGGGUCGCAGGUUCGAAUCCUGCACGGCUCACCA